GGCAUAAGCUGAGAAUGCCACAGGGAGGGAAAGCCGGGGAACCAGAACCUUGGCCAGCUGUGUGAGCACUGGCACCAGUAACUAAAGAUCUUGAUAAGAGGGGCCAAGCCCUGUUUAUGAUGUAGUUGAAAAGGCAUGAGAUGAAGGAAUCUGACCUCAAAUCCUUCCUGGACCACGCCCAGUGGCUCUGAACUUCUAGCCCAGUGCCCCAGCGCCUGGCACAGGGACAGGAGGAAUGAAUCACCACGAGGUCCAGUUUCCUACGUGCAGAACAGGGAUUUUACCAGCCUCACAGUUUCUUUCAGGAGGAGAUGACAGUCUGGCGGGAAGUGUUUACACUUGCAGUGGUAGCUAUGAAGGGACAGCAGGAUCUUCCUUAAGAUGUGUCUGCAAACCAUCCGGUUGGAAUGAGAGCUGCCACUCCCAGCCACACAGAAAGACCAGAGGCCAAGAGACAGCUGGAGUCAGUCAUUUUUUGGUGAUGCUAAUUGAAGACUGAAGAUGGAGUUGCUGCCAGAUUCUGUUUCCUGAUGGUGGGAAAACCUUUCCUAAGAAAAUGAAGCCAAUGUGUGAAUAAAUGAUGUGUAGUACAUUCUGGAGACAUUGGAGUUUCUAUUCCCAGUUGGUCCCUGGGCCAUAUUUGCUUUUUUUGUGGUUAUAAGUCUUCCAAUAAAUUUUCCUUUUUUGACUCAA